rnacentral:tmRNA from 6 species
GGGGGUGAAGGGCUUCGAUAGAAUUUUAAAAUUAAAUACGCAGGCCGAGGAUGUCUCGUAACCUCGAAAUUAAAUCCUCGAGGCAAGGCAAAUAAUAACUGCCAAAACAAACUUAAAUCCUGCUUUCGCUUUUGCCUAAGCAGCAUCGGCCGCUUAAUGUCCAAUAGAGCGAUACCGGUGUCAACCAUUGGGCUUUAACCCGUAGAAUUCUUCGCUCCGGGUGGAAAUUACAGAAGAAACGGAAAUUUCUUUUUUCGAUUGCUCCAAGAGAACUUUCUGAAAAAAUUAAGCAAUCUACGCCUGUAGAAAUAUCUAAUUGAAAAAUCCUAGAUGCGGGUUCAACUCCCGCCACUUCCAUAA